UACGAAGGGGGCUAGCGUUACUCGGAUUGACUGGGCGUAAAGGGCGCGUAGGCGGCUUGUACAGUCAGACGUGAAAUUCCUGGGCUCAACCUGGGGGCUGCGUUUGAGUACGUGCGGGCUUGAGUUCGGAAGAGGGUCGUGGAAUUCCCAGUGUAGAGGUGAAAUUCGUAGAUAUUGGGAAGAACACCGGUGGCGAAGGCGGCGACCUGGUCCGAUACUGACGCUGAGGCGCGAAAGCGUGGGGAGCAAACAGG
rnacentral:rRNA from 1 species